AACGAACGCUGGCGGCAUGCCUAACACAUGCAAGUCGAACGAGACCUUCGGGUCUAGUGGCGCACGGGUGCGUAACGCGUGGGAACCUGCCCUUAGGUUCGGAAUAACUCCCCGAAAGGGGUGCUAAUACCGGAUAAUGUCUUCGGACCAAAGAUUUAUCGCCUUUGGAUGGGCCCGCGUUGGAUUAGCUAGUUGGUAGGGUAAAAGCCUACCAAGGCGACGAUCCAUAGCUGGUCUGAGAGGAUGAUCAGCCACACUGGGACUCAGACACGGCCCAGACUCCUACGGGAGGCAGCAGUGGGGAAUAUUGGACAAUGGGCGAAAGCCUGAUCCAGCAAUGCCGCGUGAGUGAUGAAGGCCUUAGGGUUGUAAAGCUCUUUUACCCGGGAUGAUAAUGACAGUACCGGGAGAAUAAGCUCCGGCUAACUCCGUG
rnacentral:rRNA from 1 species